AACCUCUGAGCUAAAAGGG
rnacentral:tRNA from 1 species